AAAUGUUUUCUAUUUUGCUCUCCGAUUUUCAUUAUUUUCAAUGAAGAAUAGGCUAGGACAGAUUUCCAAAGCCGAUGUUUAACUCGGCUGGUUAUGCGCGCUAUACUUCUCGAAGGUAUACAAAUUCAUUCGUGAUCGUUAAUCUAAUCCCAAUUUCAAACAAAUAUAUUAUCAUGUGCCAAUGUGUUAUUGAGUUUCCUUGGAUAGCUACUAGAUAACAUUCUUUCCUCAUAUCAAAAAUAUUGUUUUUAUAUUCUUUCUCUCUGAGAAUACGAAAUAAUCAUUUUAAGUAUCUUGUAAUCAUUUUCCAAUUUGCAUAAUUGGGAUAUUGUGUUAUACAAUUUCC